UUUCAACACACAGAAUUGAAAAAUAGUGAGGCUCAUAACCUCACAGUCCCAUGCCAGGGAACCCAAGUCCAGCAGUGUGUUUUCUGAAGGUUCUCAAAGCACAGACUAAUUCCCAUUUUCCAGGAGAACCCCACACUUCAUAUGGUUUCAAGCCAGACAAUGGGGAUCCGCGCAGAGAGAACAUGCACGCACACCAACAGGAAGGACGCGGGCAGGCUUUGGGGGUGACGAGGGACAGCUUCACCCUGAGGUCUCAGGCAAGGGGUGAGGAAGGAGACUCUUGUAAACUCCUCUGUCUCUGCUCUCAGGCUUGUUCACAAAACCUGCCAUCUCCGCGCACCCAAGCUCCCUGGUGCACGCGGGAACCAGGGUGAGUCUGCGCUGUCACUCAGAACUGGCCUUUGAUGAAUUUAUCUUAUACAAAGAGGGGCGCAUACAGUAUUCCCAGCAGCUUGACCAGGGGAUGGAGGCUGGGAUCCAUUACGUCGAGGCUGUCUUUUCCAUGGGUCCUGUAACGCCUGCCCAUGCAGGAGCCUACAGGUGCUGUGGUUGUUUCAGUCACUCUAGCUAUGAGUGGUCGGCUCCCAGUGACCCCCUGGACAUUGUGAUCACAGGAAAAUACAAAAAGCCUUCUCUCUCCACUCAGGUGGACCCCAUGAUAAGGCUGGGAGAGAAGUUGACCUUCUUCUGCAGCUCUGAAAUCUCAUUUGACUGGUACCAUCUGUUGAGAGACGGGGUUGCUCAUGGACAGUGGCUCAGUGGAGGGCAGAGACACAGUGGAGCGUUCCAGGCCAACUUUUCUGUGGGCCCCGCAACGCCAGUCCCUGGCGGGACCUAUAGAUGCUAUGGUUCUUUCAAUGACUCUCCCUAUGAGUGGUCAGCCCCCAGUGACCCACUACACCUUUACGUCACAGGAAACACUAAGAGUACUCCUCUGUCACUCAUGGAAUCCACCCAUGAGUCUGGUAAGCAAAUAACUCUUAUCCUAGUGUCUGAGUCCCUGGGGAGAUGGAAGGCUCCUGUGUGAGUGAAAGCUGUGCCACCUCCCAGCUCCAUGACACUGGGCUAGGCAGCCCCUCCCAGGUCCCCACAUUCCCCAUCCACAUCUGAGACUGUGGUCAGUGCGGGGAUCUGUAAGGCCUUUCAGCCUCAGAUGCUCUGGAACUGAGGCCUCAUCCACAGGGGAGGAAGAGGUCAGAGUCACCUGACCCUUGCUGAAAAGCAAUGCUUCUCAUUCCUCCAGGGAGGUCUGUGAACAUGAAAACGCCGGAAGAUGAGAAGGAUUUAAAAGACCAUAUUAGAUAUUCAUUGUCUAUCUUUUUUUUUGUUGUUUUUUUGAGACAGAGUCUCACUCUGUCACCCAGGCUGGAGUGCGGUGGCACAAUCUCAGCUCACUGCGACGUCUGCCUCCUGAGUUCAAGCAAUUUUCCUGCCUCAGCCUCUUGAGUAGCUGGGAUUACAGGUGCACGCCACCACACCCAGCUAAUUUUUGUAUUUUUAAUAGAGUCGGGGUUUUGCCAUGUUGACCAGGCUGGUCUCAAACUCCUGACCUCAAGUGAUCCGUCCGCCUCGGCCUCCCAAAGUGCUGGGAUUACAGGCAUGAGCCACUGCGCCCGGCCUCCGUUGAGGUUUUUGAUGGAGAAACCCUGCUCUUUCCCUUCACUGACCAAUCACCCCAACCCCUCUCCUACCUCCACCUCACCUCUGGGGAGGCCACUGACCUGCAGGAGAUGGUCCAUGAGAGAGGCAGAAGGAUGGGGGCCAUCGAUGGGAGCGGUCCUGGGGCAGUCAAGAUUGCCCUGGGGUUGCUGAUGGGUGGUUCUCUGAGUUUAGUGGGGGAGGCUGGAUCACGCUGCAGCCUCAGGCACGCCCUUGCCUUGUUUUGGUAUUGCCACCUCUGAUGUGAAGAUCUGGAAGACUUUCUUUUUCACCCCACAGACACCACCAUGGCAAACACAGAGCCCAUGGAAGGCCAACGGACGGAUGAAGAGGUGAGUUCUCCCAGCCGAAACCAUCACCACAGCUUCAUCCCCUCACAUUCCCAGUGCCCCCACCUUCAGUUACUAAAUAUGCUCCUCUUUUCACCUUCAUCCUCUCAGGAACCUGCCGCAGAAGAGACACAGAAGAUCAUAUAUGCCCAGUUAAACCACCAGGCCCUCUCACAGACAGGAUUCACUCCUGCCUCCCCGUGUCCCCACUACAUCUCGGAGGAUCCCAGUAUCUACGUCACCGUCCACCAAGCCCAGGCUGAGGCCAGAGCUGCCCCCAGUCUUUGGCACAAAGGGCAUUAAUACGCAAGGACCUGGAUCUAUUCCUAGGAGGAUUUUUUUUUCCAUGGACAUUCUUCCUCCUUCUGGUACCGUCUUGACACCUCCAAGCUGGCAACAGUAGUGUCUGAAUGCUUGUGGGGUUAUCUUAAAAUUCCAGCGCUGCUGAACAGACAACUAGCCAUUCUACAGUUCUAUUUUGAGCAUCCAGCCAUUUAAGGUGAUUUGACUAUACCCACAUACUCAUCCUGGAUAUCUCAUUAAUAUCAUCUGAAUUAUUCUGAAACUCUACAGACAUGCUUCUAGAAAGCCGAUGUAUAUGCUCAGUCAGUUUAAUCUCUAAAUUACUCAAUAAGGUUUUUUAAAAUUUUUAAAAAAAGUUUUGGGGUACAUGUGCAGGAUGUGCAGGUUUGUUACAUAGGUAAACGUGUGCCAUGGUGGUUUGCUGCAUCUAUCAACCUCUCACCUAGGUAUUAAGUCCAGCAGGCAUUAGCUGUCUUCCCUAAUGCUCUCCGUACCCCCUGCCCUCCUCUGACAGGCCCCAGUGAGCGUGUUCCCCUCCCUAUGUCCAUGUAUUCUCAUUGUUCAGCUCCCACUUAUGAGUGAAAACAUGUGGUGUCUGGUUUUCUGUUCCUGCAUUAGUUUGCUGAGGUUAAUGUCUUCCAGCUUCAUUCAUGUCUCUGCAAAUGAUAUGAUCUCAUUCCUUUUUAUGACUGCAUAGUAUUCCGUGGUGUAUAUGUACAACAUUUUCUUUAUCCAGUCUAUCAUUGAUGGGCAUUUGGGUUGAUUCCAUGUCUUUGCUGUUACUCAAUAAAAUUUUGCAGAGACGAAGCGUAUUCUAUAUCUGAGUCAUCUAAUAUGGUAGCCACUAGCCAAAUAUGGCUUUUUAACUUAGAAUUAGAAUAGAUCAAAUUCCAUGAAGUUUAAAAUUCAGUUCCUCAGCCACAUGGCCACAAUUUGAGUUCUCAGAGCCGCAUGUGGCUGCUGGCUGUGGGAGAGAAUAGCAUGAAUACAAAAUGUUUUCCUUGUCAGAGGAAGUUCUAGCUGUUCUAGAUUAAAGGUGCAAAUUUGAAGAUGCAGAGCCUAUUUUCUCAUGCAGUGCAGGCUCCUGGAAGAGACCUAAUGUAACAAAACGAUAAUAUUUAACAUCAAUGGUGAGAUGUCUUUAUCUUACUAAAUGUGGGGAGCAAGCAGAAUUCUCUCAUGGAGUGUCUUAUCACCUCUUAUCCUCAUGCAAAUUUCUGCCAUAGAGAUUUUCUCCCAAACUUUGAGAAGGUCACCUCUGUCAGGCCUCUGAGCCCAAGCUAAGCCAUCAUAUCCCCUGUGACCUGCGUGUAUACAUCCAGAUGGCCUGAAGCGACUGAAGAUCCACAAAAGAAGUGAAAAUAGCCUUAACUGAUGACAUUCCACCAUGGUGAUUUGUUCCUGCCCCACCCUAACUAAUAGGAUAUAUUCUCCCCCCACCCAAGAAGGUACUUUGUAAUAUUCCUCUCCCCCCCUUACCCCCCACCCCCCUGCCCCCCUCGCCCACCGUAAGAAGGUACUUUGUAAUAUUCUCCCCCCAACUUUAGAAGGUACUUUGUAAUAUUCUCCCCUCCCCUUAAGAAGGUACUUUGAGGACGAGCGCAGUGGCUCACGCCUGUAAUCCCAGAACUUUGGGGGGCCGAGGCGGGCGGAUCAUGAGGUCAGGAGAUCGAGACCAUCCCGGCUAACAUGGUGAAACCCCGUCUCUACUAAAAAAAUACAAAACAAUUAGACGGGCGUGGUGGUGGGCGCCUGUAGUCCCAGCCACUCGGGAGGCUGAGGCAGGAGAAUGGCGUGAACCCAGGAGGCAGAGCUUGCAGUGAGCCGAGAUCACGCCACUGCAUUCCAGCCUGGGUGAUAGAGCAAGACUCCGUCUC
rnacentral:sRNA from 1 species